rnacentral:rRNA from 1 species
AUGUACAUUCUUGUAGCAUUAAUGCACCAGAUCUCAUUAGAACUAUGCAGUUAAAAGAAUUUGGGCUAGAGUAAUAUUGGGAUGGUUGACCUCUUAGAAAGUCCUAGUGUUUUACAUG